rnacentral:rRNA from 1 species
GAUGAACGCUGGCGGCGUGCCUAAUACAUGCAAGUCGAACGCACAGCGAAAGGUGCUUGCACCUUUCAAGUGAGUGGCGAACGGGUGAGUAACGCGUGGAUAACCUACCUCAAGGUUGGGGAUAACAUUUGGAAACAGAUGCUAAUACCGAAUAAACUUCGAUCGCAUGAUACAAGGUUAAAGGCGCUACGGCGUCACCUAGAGAUGGAUCCGCGGUGCANAGUUAGUGGUGGGUAAGCCUACAGACAAUGAUGCAUAGCCGAGUUGAGAGACUGAUCGG